GACGAACGCUGGCGGCGUGCUUAACACAUGCAAGUCGAACGGAAAGGCCUUUUCGGAGGUACUCGAGUGGCGAACGGGUGAGUAACACGUGGGUGAUCUGCCCUGCACUCUGGGAUAAGCCUGGGAAACUGGGUCUAAUACCGGAUAGGACCGCACUUUAGUGUGUGUGGUGGAAAGUUUUUUCGGUGUAGGAUGAGCCCGCGGGCUAUCAGCUUGUUGGUGGGGUAAUGGCCUACCAAGGCGGCGACGGGUAGCCGGACUGAGAGGUUGGUCGGCCACAUUGGGACUGAGGUAAGGCCCAGACUGCUACGGGAGGCAGGAGGGGGGAAUAUUGCACAAUGGGCGCAAGCCUGGUGCAGCGACGCCGCGGGGGGGAAGACGGCCUUCGGGUUGUAAACUCCUUUCGCCAGGGACGAAGCGUUUUGUGACGGUACCUGGAGAAGAAGCACCGGCUAACUACGUG
rnacentral:rRNA from 1 species